rnacentral:tRNA from 1 species
GUUUUAAUAAUUUAAUAAAAAUAUUGGUCUUGUAAACCAAAAAUAGGAAUACCUUUAAAGCA